rnacentral:rRNA from 1 species
UACGAAGGGGGCUAGCGUUGCUCGGAAUCACUGGGCGUAAAGGGUGCGUAGGCGGGUCUUUAAGUCAGGGGUGAAAUCCUGGAGCUCAACUCCAGAACUGCCUUUGAUACUGAAGAUCUUGAGUUCGGGAGAGGUGAGUGGAACUGCGUGUGUAGAGGUGAAAUUCGUAGAUAUUCGCAAGAACACCAGUGGCGAAGGCGGCUCACUGGCCCGAUACUGACGCUGAGGCACGAAAGCUAGGGGAGCAAACAGG